rnacentral:rRNA from 1 species
UACGUAGGGUGCAAGCGUUGUCCGGAAUUAUUGGGCGUAAAGCGCUCGUAGGCGGUCUGUCGCGUCUGCUGUGAAAACUCGGGGCUUAACCCCGGGCCUGCAGUGGGUACGGGCAGACUAGAGUGCGGUAGGGGAGACUGGAAUUCCUGGUGUAGCGGUGAAAUGCGCAGAUAUCAGGAGGAACACCGGUGGCGAAGGCGGGUCUCUGGGCCGUAACUGACGCUGAGGAGCGAAAGCGUGGGGAGCGAACAGG